AUGGCAUCUGCUCCACAGCCCGGCUGGGAUGCGUGGAGGAAGGGCCCCCUUCCACCAGAUGAGUCCUGGAGCACUCUGGCCAGUGGAAGUGAUGAGGACGCACUUUGGGGACAGCAGUCCCAGGAAUCGAGGGAACUUCUUCUCACUUUUUGGGUGUGGGUUGGGCCUUUUUUUGGGCUAGGGGGGGUCUUUGGGUGUUAUGUACUAACAUAUUUUUUUGUUUCUUUUAGUGAAGAACAAAGUCUAGUUAUUGAAGAUCUAGAAGACUAAAGUGAGUUGGGAAAAUAGAGGGAGGGGUGCACCUGGUGGCACAGCGGAUCAAACCACUGAGCUGCUGAACGUACCGACCAGAAGGUCAGUGGUUUGAAUCCAGGCAGUGGGGUGAGCUCCUGCUGUUAGCCCCAGCUUCUGCCAACCUAUCAAUUCAAAAACAUGCAAAUGUGAGUAGAUCAAUAUGUACCGCUCUGGCAGGAAGGUAACAGCGCUCCAUGGAGUCAUGCCGGCCACAUGGCCUAGUAGGUAUCUACGGACAAUACCAGCUCUGAGGCUUAGAAAUGGAGAUGAGCUCUAACCCACAGAUUCGGACAUGACUAGACUUAAUGUCAGGGGAAACCUUUAUCUUUAACUCUCCCUUUUCAGAUCCAUCCUCUUCCUGGGACUGCUGUCUCCAUCGUGUGUCCACCUCCUCCCCUGGUCAGGGUGCCCAGUGAUGAAGAAUCCAUCUCGAAUGAGGCCCUUCCUCCUUCCCUCUGACCUUGUUCUCCUUUCUCCUUUGCAGAACAUCAGGAAAUUAGGUAUAAAUUUUUGGAAAUGAUGUCGGGGAGGAGGUGUAUCAAAAUAUACCCCAUAAGGUAAGCCCUUCCUCCUUCUUUUCUGGUUGUUUUUUCCCCCUUCUAAAUAGCUUCACAGGGUUCUGAUACUAAUGUUCGGCUGAUUUCUCUCCUUCUUCUCUAGUCCUCCAACGCAAGAUCUGGAGGCCUCCUCCUCCGAGGCGAUCACAGAAAUGGAGACCUGGGUAAGGAGGGAAGGCAGGAGGAUUGUACUUCUGUGAAGAGGAGGGGACCAGGAUUUCAACUAAGUCUCUUCGCUUUCUUCCACAGCACCAAUGGAUGGCAUCUGCUCCGCAGCCCGGCUGGGAUGCGUGGAGGAAGGGCCCCAUUCCACCCGAUGAGUCCUGGGUAAGGAGAGAAAUGCAGGCGCCCUGUCUUCCUGCAAAGGGGAAGGGGAGGUCAGGAUUUCACUUUGCUCUUCUCUUUCCUUGACAGAGCACUCUGGCCAGUGGAAGUGAUGAGGACGCACUUUGGGGACAGCAGUCCCAGGAAUCGAGGGAACUUCGACUCACUUUUUGGGUGUGGGUUGGGCCUUUUUUUGGGCUAGGGGGGUCUUUGGGUGUUAUGUACUAACAUAUUUUUUUGUUUCUUUUAGUGAAGAACAAAGUCUAGUUAUUGAUGAUCUAGAAGACUAAGGUGAGUUGGGAAAAUAGAGGGAGGGGUGCACCUGGUGGCACAGCAGAUCAAACCACUGAGCUGCUGAACGUACCGACCAGAAGGUCAGUGGUUUGAAUCCAGGCAGUGGGGUGAGCUCCCGCUGUUAGCCCCAGCUUCUGCCAACCUAACAAUUCAAAAACAUGCACAUGUGAGUAGAUCAAUAUGUACCGCUCUGGCAGGAAGGUAACAGCGCUCCAUGGAGUCAUGCCGGCCACAUGGCCUAGUAGGUAUCUACGGACAAUGCCGGCUCUGAGGCUUAGAAAUGGAGAUGAGCUCUAACCCACAGAUUCGGACAUGACUAGACUUAAUGUCAGGGGAAAC
rnacentral:lncRNA from 11 species